rnacentral:rRNA from 1 species
UGAGGAAUAUUGGUCAAUGGACGGAAGUCUGAACCAGCCAAGUAGCGUGCAGGAUGACGGCCCUAUGGGUUGUAAACUGCUUUUAUACGGGGAUAAAGUUAGGGACGUGUCCCUAUUUGCAGGUACCGUAUGAAUAAGCAUCGGCUAACUCCGUGCCAGCAGCCGCGGUAAUACGGGGGAUGCGAGCGUUAUCCGGAAUUAUUGGGUUUAAAGGGUGCGCAGGUGGCUAAUCAGGUCAGUGGUGAAAAGCUAUGGCUCAACCAUGGUCUUGCCAUUGAAACCGUAUAGCUAGAGAGGAGACGAGGUAGGCGGAAUGUGUGGUGUAGCGGUGAAAUGCAUAGAUAUCACACAGAACUCCGAUUGCGAAGGCAGCUUACCAGGCUUUAUCUGACACUUAGGCACGACAGCGUGGGGAUCAAACAGG